GACGAACGCUGGCGGCGUGCUUAACACAUGCAAGUCGAACGGAAAGGCCCUGCUUUUGUGGGGUUCUCGAGUGGCGAACGGGUGAGUAACACGGGAAUAACCUGCCCUUGACUUGGGGAUAACUUCAGGAAGCUGGGGCUAAUGCCUGAUAGGAGCUCCUGCUGCGUGGGGGUGGUUGGACAUUUUCGGCGGUUGGGGAGGGACGCGGGGGUUAUCAGCUUGUUGGUGUGGGAGUGGCUUACCAAGGCUUUGACGGGUAGCCGGCCUGAGAGGGGGGACGGCGACACGGGGACUGCGGUAGGGCCAAGACUCGGACGGGAGGCAGCAGCGGGGAGCAUUGCACAGUGGGCGGCAGCCUGAGGCAGCAACGCAGGGUGCGGGAUGACGGCCAUCGGGCUGUAAAGGGCUUUCGCCUGUGACGAAGCGUGAGUGCCGUUAAUGGGUAAAGAAGCACCGGCUAACUACGUG
rnacentral:rRNA from 1 species